CGUAUACCCGGCUAUUAUCUUUUAUUUCCAUUAACUCUCAAUAUAUGAGUAUACCUCUAGAUGUAUUGUAUUCGCGUUUGUUACUUUUCGGAGCGAGUCUCAAAGCGAUUUUACGCAUGUUGCACCGUUGCACGUGCUUCAUUCAUCAUCUCAACAAUAAAAACACCAAUUUCAAUAGAUUUCGGUCUUACCGUUGCCUCUCGCCUUGAAUUCAAAAAGAAUAAUACUAUAUUCCUAUGUGGGAAAUACAGUAAACAUCGAUGCGUAAAUGAGCCGUUUAUUUUGAAAGUGACCUAACUCCGUUUUUCAAUUUUUUACCGGUUACCAUGGUUACAAGUACAACUUCAUGUUAUUUAUCAGUGACGCAUUUGAGAUUGCUUAUAUUCAGAGAAAAUACGGUACAUUUUUUACACAUAAGUUUUCCGAAUUAAUUGAAUAACUAAGACGUGUAGUUUGAAAGUGGCCUAACUCCAUUUAUAGUUACAUCAGGAUAUUUACUAUUGAUAAUGUCGGAAAGCAGCGAUGAAGAAAUUAUUGCACCCAUGAGGAAAAACUGGAGAAGACCACUUAGUUCAGAUAGUGAAGAAGAAAUAGUAAUUAAUAAUUAAAAAAAAGCGAAUAAGAAAAAGAGUUAUAGAACAAUAUUCCUCGUCAGAGGAUGAAGAUUCAAAUAACAAUGGAGAAAAGAUAGAUGCACCAUAUAUCCAAAAAGUGCGAAAGAUUAAACGGAAUUCAGGAAAAA